rnacentral:rRNA from 1 species
GAUGAACGCUAGCUACAGGCUUAACACAUGCAAGUCGAGGGGAAACGACAUCGAAAGCUUGCUUUUGAUGGGCGUCGACCGGCGCACGGGUGAGUAACGCGUAUCCAACCUGCCCACCACUUGGGGAUAACCUUGCGAAAGUAAGACUAAUACCCAAUGAUAUCUCUAGAAGACAUCUGAAAGAGAUUAAAGAUUUAUCGGUGAUGGAUGGGGAUGCGUCUGAUUAGCUUGUUGGCGGGGUAACGGCCCACCAAGGCAACGAUCAGUAGGGGUUCUGAGAGGAAGGCCCCCCACAUUGGAACUGAGACCCGGCCCAAACCCCUACGGGAGGCAGCAGGGGGGAAAAUGGGUAAAGGGACGGGAGUCUGAACAAGCAAAGGAGCGGGAAGGAAGCCGGCCCUGUGGGUUGUAAACUGCUUUUAUAAGGGAAAAAAGUGGGUCCCGUGGGACUUUUGGCAUGGACCUUAGAAAUAAGGACCGGCUAAUUCCGG